rnacentral:pre_miRNA from 1 species
GAUUUCAAAUGGAAAAGCCAUAAAAAGCAAAGUUGUACAACUUAUUAAGAUCUACAACUUUUAUUUUUUGGUCACUUCUUCAUCCGACAAAGUGAUAGUACCAAUGUUUACAAAAUUGAUAUAUCUGUGUUGAUGUUUAUAAACCAGAUAAGAGAAAUAUGAUUUUUGUGAAUAAUAUAACUAUCACUUUGUCAGAUAAAGAAGUGACCAAAAUAAAAGUUGUAGAUCUUGAUAAGUUGUACAACUUUGCUGUUUAUGGCUUUUCCAUUUGAAAUC